rnacentral:rRNA from 1 species
GGUAACAUAAGAGUGCUUGCACUUUUGAUGACGACCGGCGCACGGGUGCGUAACGCGUAUAGAACCUACCUUAUAUUGGGGGAUAGCCCAGAGAAAUUUGGAUUAAUACCCCAUGGUAUGCUGAAGUGGCAUCACUUUAGUAUUAAAGAUUUAUCGAUAUAAGAUGGCUAUGCGUUCUAUUAGCUAGUUGGUUAGGUAACGGCUGACCAAGGCUACGAUAGAUAGGGGUCCUGAGAGGGAGAUCCCCCACACUGGUACUGAGACACGGACCAGACUCCUACGGGAGGCAGCAGUGAGGAAUAUUGGACAAUGGAGGCAACUCUGAUCCAGCCAUGCCGCGUGCAGGAAGACUGCCCUAUGGGUUGUAAACUGCUUUUAUAGAGGAAGAAACCGCUCUACGUGUACAGCUCUGACGGUACUCUACGAAUAAGGAUCGGCUAACUCCGUGCCAGCAGCCGCGGUAAUACGGAGGAUCCAAGCGUUAUCCGGAAUCAUUGGGUUUAAAGGGUCCGUAGGCGGGCUUGUAAGUCAGUGGUGAAAGUUUGCGGCUCAACCGUAAAAUUGCCAUUGAUACUGCAGGUCUUGAAUCAUUAUGAAGUGGUUAGAAUAAGUAGUGUAGCGGUGAAAUGCAUAGAUAUUACUUAGAAUACCGAUUGCGAAGGCAGAUCACUAAUAAUGUAUUGACGCUAAGGGACGAAAGCGUGGGUAGCGAACAGGAUUAGAUACCCUGGUAGUCCACGCCGUAAACGA